UACGUAGGGUGCAAGCGUUGUCCGGAAUUAUUGGGCGUAAAGAGCUCGUAGGCGGUCUGUCGCGUCGGCUGUGAAAUCCCGAGGCUCAACCUCGGGUCUGCAGUCGAUACGGGCAGACUAGAGGCAGGUAGGGGAGAACGGAAUUCCCGGUGUAGCGGUGAAAUGCGCAGAUAUCAGGAGGAACACCGGUGGCGAAGGCGGACUCUGGGCCGAUACUGACGCUGAGGAGCGAAGCGUGGGAGCGAACAGG
rnacentral:rRNA from 1 species